rnacentral:lncRNA from 1 species
UCUCUUUCCUCCCUUUUCAUUUUUUGGUCGAUUUUGUACCUCUCCUCACCAUCACAUGACUUUGUUUAACCAUUUUCAUGAAAGUUUCAGGAGCAACUUGAAGCUAUUUUGUUCUCUUCCAUAAGUCAAAAAUUUUCACAAAGAUCCGUUGGAAGACAAGAGAGGGUCACGGGUUCCUUACCCUUUUUCUUUGUUCAUCCAUAUCAGUCCCUUUUUCUGCUAUCUUGCAUCACGAUUUUGACCUCUCACAACGACUAUUUCUCAAAAUUUGAAGUUUGCAAAAUCCCACCCAAACAUGAACCCUAGAUCUACAUCUCUUAUAAAUACUCACAUCCGUGUGGGUUUAGAGAGGUUAGAGCUGCCACUCGAACACUACUGUAAACACCACUGUUUUUCUUACUCUUAUCACUCUUCUCGUCUCUUAGAAACUCUCAUAAAGAGCUUUCAAACUUUAUUUACUGUCUCGGUGUACUUUAGCCACAAUAGAGGUGCUCGAACCCAUUCGACUCGAGGUUCGGAUCUGUUCAUAACGAGAGAGUAGAUUCGAGGUCGAAGCUCCGGUUCGCUGCACUAUAAGAGGUAAUAUUCGACCCCGUUCUGUUUCUUUUCUCUUUUUGUUAAAAAAUUUUGUAUUUAAGAAUCAUGUUUUAGACUUCAAUUCUCUUAAAAAAUGUAUUCCCGAAAUUCUAGAUAAAGAUGUGUUUAGAAAUCAUGCUCUUAGGAAUUUAUAUUUUGAUCCUAUGACGUUUGACUCGUGUCCAUAUUAUUUGUUCUAUAGAGUACAUUUGCUGACUUUAGAAACUGAUUUGGUGUCUAUUUUCUGCUUGGAAUGUAAAAAUGCGUGUCAUUUUCUCCAAUACUCUGAUUUAUUUUAUUUUUCUUUUGCUCUUAAUAAGACAACUUGGAAUAAGUUGCCACUCUUUUUCUAUUCUAUCCUGCUACAAGCAUAAGUGAACUUUAUGUUAGAAUUCUUAGAUGACAUGUUAUACACCAUGACUUUACAUCAGCUUAUUGGUUUUAAAAUGCCUUGUUUGAAAUCAACUUUAACUAACUAAAAUACAUGUUGUAUUAUGAAUAUUAUGUCUUCCUGCUCUUCUUUGAUAUUUGGUUUAAGUGUUGGUAUCUUUGAUCAAUGUGUAAAAAUGACUUUAAAUUGAUGUGGAAUAUAUCCUUCUCCGCUUAUUGAAUUAGCUUAAAUCACUUUAGGUACUACUCAAUAGAAGAUAGAUAAAUAUUUAUUUCCUAACAUGGGAUACUAAUUAAAAAAUAUUUCUGUUAAUAAUAGUUAAGAGUUUUUAUAGCCAUGGUUAUAAAAAAUAUGUGCAGUCUCCUUAUGAUAAGAAGUAUAUUUAUUUAUCUUCUCCGAUCUUCAUAUUUGUUAAGAAGUAUAUGUUCCCCUCUAACUCUUUUAUUCUUUCUUUAUUUUCUCAUGAACACCGGAGCUGAAGGGUCUUACUUUGAGACUCAAUGAUGCCAUAACACUGCAUGGAGACUGCACAUCCCCGAGUCCUUUUUCCAGAUUUUACCGUGUUUAGACAUCAAAAUGCAGAAGAUAAAAUCUUCUAUGGGGCUUGGACAUGGCUUCAGAUUGCUUCACUUCGUUUCACUUAUCUUACUUACUUGCUAUUCUGACUAACUUAUAUUUCAGUUAUAUGUGUACUCUUAAACGUAGAAUUGUUACAUAAUGAUUGAACUGUGAUUACCAUUUAGAGUCUUUGCUUUAUGAUAUCAAGUCUUAGGACCAACAACUUAAUGAUUUCUCACGUAGCAGUAGUCUUAGGAUAAUGAAUCUUUAUAACACUUUAACAUUUUGGGGCAGUACUAAGUCAUGAUCUGGAAAGUUUUCUCUAUGUAUUAAUU